GAGCUGUCUGUGUGGGUAGAAUCAGAGAAAUGUUCUUUAAUGCCACAUCCUAGGAUGUGAGCUGACAAAGCUGCUUUCUAUGUAAAAUGCAUAAGACACAAGCUUUUUUCUGCCAUAUGUAAAAGAUAACGGAACCACUGGCAAAUGUUCCAAAAGUUCAACAUUUGCUCCCUGCAAUUAGGCCAUCUAGGCUCCCUGCAAUUCAGAAAACUAUUGAAAUUUUUCUUUGUUGUCUCUGGACAAAUCCUCUUGCCUGAAUGCAGGCCUGCCCCAUGCUCUCUUGCCUUGGCUCAUUUCUGAUCCGAAUCUGUAGUGCUUGGAGGAUCUCUGUCUGUCAUGGACUUUCCUCAGGAUUAGAAAGGCACAAAAUCUGUUAAUGCCUCUCCCUGUGAGGAAGCCCAUCUGCAAGCAAGAUUUGGACACAACCCAGUUACAUUGGAGACCAAGAGAUUGGAGCCUAACUCAACAAAGUAGGACAUAGCACAAUGCACUGAGCUAGUGCCACAGAAUAUCUGAGUAUCCCACAUGUCCUGGAGAAAGAUCAACACCAAGCUGGUUGGAGAAGCCUUGCGUGCCUCAACUGGUGCAGUAAGUGUCAACUCAGCUUGCUAUCAGCCAUGGGAAUUUACAAGCUUUCCAACAAGACUGAAGAAAUCCAGGAAACCACAAUGACAGAUCCA